GUGAAGUGCCUGCUCUUCCCUUCUUAUUGUGAUGCACAGAACAGCUCAUUUCACUCCACAGGAAGGUUCUCCAUGGAUUUUGAGAGAUGGAGGUAAUGACUAAUACAAAAGCCUGGAUAUUACCUAAGAAUUACUGGGGGAAGGAGAAUGAAAUUGAAGAUGGACCCAGGCUGGAUCAAACACACAGGGAAGAAACACAUAAGCAUUAAGCGUAUCAAUGAAGUUCUAAGGUGGCCAGAGCUGUCUUCCAACUGA